AGGAACCCUAGGCCCACGAGCCAAUCUCGCGGCCGUCUCCCUCGCUUCCUCCGCAGCCUCGCAGCCGCCUCCCCCGCUCCCUCCGCACCGCAGCCGCCCUCCACAGCCCGCAGCCGCCUUCCCCGCUCCCUCUGCACCUAGCCCCCCGCUCCCCUCCUUCUCUACUCUGCUCUCCACUAUGCCGCCUCCUCCUCUCUCACUUUUCUCUCCGGCGGCGGUGCCAAAGAAGGCGCACACGGGCGGUGGAUCCGUGCCGGAGAAGAGCUGCGGGGACUGCGCUUCGGUCGUGGUGGGGUGCAGCCGCGGGGAAGACGAACUUGGUCCGCCGCCCGUCUUCACCUUCUCGCCGCGACCUUGCUGCCUCCAUGGCCAAACACACGUAUUUUUUUUUCUGUCCCUCCAUGGCGCUCGUUGCCGGCGGCAUCUCUCUUUUCCCCCUUACCCUCCCUUUUUAUCUACCUGCUGUUGCUCAUCCUCCAAUCUCUUAAAUUCAGACAGGCUGGACGCAACGCACACGGUCUAGGAAGGCCACGACAUGACUAGAUAUUUGCUUGCUUGGUUUAGUCGCUUGUAAUCAGUGCUGUCAUUGACAAGGAAAGGAGAGGAGACUACUUGAAGAAAACGUCCAGGUUGGGCCACAUAUCACAGAUGGAAUUCAGGAUUGGAUCGAACGCGUGGCGAUAAAGCUGGUUGACGGUAAACAAGGGACUCCUGAUGUUUGUGUGAUAGUUUCGUUGGAACUAUAGUUCCUUCGGAUGUUCCCAUAGCUAUGUAAGUCUGCCCAGUGCAGGGACAAAAUCUUUUCUCACCGCGCAUAAUGACAGUGGCACUCUUGAUGAGGGGAUAUUGAAUCAAUGCAUUUUAUUGAAGCAUUAGGUCAAUUUUCAUACCGUGUAGGACCUGGAAAUUUUUGCCUCGUCCAUGUCAACCUUGUUCCAGUACUAAAUGUAGUUGGUGAGCAGAUUUGCAUAGAGCGGACCACCUUGCAACAGUGUUGGGUUAUAUAACCCAUGGUUUCUUCAUGAUUC